rnacentral:tRNA from 1 species
GCCGAGGUAGCUCAGUGGUAGAGCAGCGGACUGAAAAUCCGCGUGUCGUCGGUUCGACUCCGACCCUCGGCACCA